AGCGAACGCUGGCGGAAUGCCUAACACAUGCAAGUCGCGCGGUUCGGCUUACGGCCGGGCAGCGGCGGACGGGUGCGCAACGCGUAGGAACGUGCCCUGGGGUGGGGGACAACGCCGGGAAACUGGCGCUAAUACCGCAUGGGGGCUGAGGCCCAAAGCCUUCGGGCGCCCUGGGAGCGGCCUGCGUCCGAUUAGCUUGUUGGGGGGUAACGGCCCACCAAGGCGACGAUCGGUAGCUGGUCUGAGAGGAUGAUCAGCCACACUGGGACUGAGACACGGCCCAGACUCCUACGGGAGGCAGCAGUGGGGAAUAUUGGACAAUGGGCGCAAGCCUGAUCCAGCAAUUCCGCGUGGGUGAAGAA
rnacentral:rRNA from 1 species